rnacentral:rRNA from 1 species
AACAGGGAAGCUUGCUUCCGCUGACGACCGGCGCACGGGUGCGUAACGCGUAUGCAACCUACCUCUUACAGGGGAAUAGCCCGAAGAAAUUCGGAUUAAUACCCCAUGGUAUUACAGAUUCGCAUGAUGAAGUAAUUAAAGAUUUAUCGGUAAGAGAUGGGCAUGCGUCUGAUUAGACUGUUGGUGAGGUAACGGCUCACCAAGUCGACGAUCAGUAGGGGUUCUGAGAGGAAGAUCCCCCACACUGGCACUGAGAUACGGGCCAGACUCCUGCGGGAGGCAGCAGUAGGGAAUAUUGGUCAAUGGAGGCAACUCUGAACCAGCCAUGCCGCGUGUAGGAAGAAUGCCUUCUGGGUUGUAAACUACUUUUAUAUAGGAAGAAAACGCCAUGCGUGGUAAUAUGACGGUACUAUAUGAAUAAGCACCGGCUAACUCCGUGCCAGCAGCCGCGGUAAUACGGAGGGUGCAAGCGUUGUCCGGAUUUAUUGGGUUUAAAGGGUGCGUAGGCGGUUUAUUAAGUCGGAGUUGAAAUCCCACAGCUUAACUGUGGAACUGGCUCCGAUACUGGUUAACUUGAGUAUGGUUGAGGUAGGCGGAAUUUAAGAUGUAGCGGUGAAAUGCAUAGAUAUCUUAAAGAACACCAAUUGCGUAGGCAGCUUACUGGACCAUAACUGACGCUGAGGCACGAAAGCGUGGGUAGCGAACAGGAUUAGAUACCCUGGUAGUCCACGCCGUAAACGAUGAUUACUCGAUGUCUGCGAUACACUGUAGGCGUCC